rnacentral:rRNA from 1 species
AACGAACGCUGGCGGCAUGCCUAACACAUGCAAGUCGAACGAGACCUUCGGGUCUAGUGGCGCACGGGUGCGUAACGCGUGGGAACCUGCACUUAGGUUCGGAAUAACUCCCCGAAAGGGGUGCUAAUACCGGAUAAUGUCUUAGGACCAAAGAUUUAUCGCCUCUGGAUGGGCCCGCGUUGGAUUAGCUAGUUGGUAGGGUAAAAGCCUACCAAGGCGACGAUCCAUAGCUGGUCUGAGAGGAUGAUCAGCCACACUGGGACUGAGACACGGCCCAGACUCCUACGGGAGGCAGCAGUGGGGAGUAUUGGACGAUGGGCGAAAGCCUGGUCCAGCAGUGCCGCGUGAGUGGUGAAGGCCUUAGGGUUGUAAAGCUCUUUUACCCGGGAUGAUAAUGACAGUACCGGGAGAAUAAGCUCCGGCUAACUCCGUG